rnacentral:rRNA from 1 species
AACGAACGCUGGCGGCAUGCCUAACACAUGCAAGUCGAACGAGAACUUCGGGUCUAGUGGCGCCCGGGUGCGUAACGCGUGGGAACCUGCCCUUAGGUUCGGAAUAACUCCCCGAAAGGGGUGCUAAUACCGGAUAAUGUCUCCGGCCCAAAGAUUUAUCGCCCUUGGGUGGGCCCGCGUUGGAUUAGCUAGUUGGUAGGGUAAAAGCGUACCAAGGCGACGAUCGAUAGCUGGGCUGAGAGGAUGAUCAGCGACACUGGGACGAGGACACGGUCCAGACUCUUAGGGGAGGGAGGAGAGGGGGAUAUAGGACAGUGGGGGGAAGCAUGAAGGAGUAAGGCCGGGAGAGUGAUGAAGGACGGAGGGAAGUAAAGCUCUUUUACCCGGGAGGAUAAUGACAGUACCGGGAGAAUAAGCUCCGGCUAACUCCGUG